GAUUAGUUGAUGAGAAAAAUUCUAUGGGAGAGAAAGGAGAGGGUGUUGGAGUGAAAAUUUUGAAUAUUCCUGGGAAUGCCAAAGUUAUUCACCUAGGGAAGUUUUCUGGAAAUAGGGGUAUAAUAAAUUGAUUUUUAUGCUCUUAUCUAUCAAGAAAAUGGAUUUUUUCAUGGAAAAAAGGAGUCAAUAUAGAUAUCUUAUUCAGUUUGAAUUUGG
rnacentral:misc_RNA from 1 species